GAGAAUUUGCAUGAAUAAAAAAUUUGGGUCCCCUUUGCCUAAAAAGGCUUGAUAAAUAUAACCUCUUAAUUCCUCAAGUUUGGGAAGUAUGGGUUCUUCCUCUGUGCUUCAUUGCCUUUUAUUUUCAUUUUCUAUAUCACUAGUAACAUAUCCUAGAUAAAUUCAGCUGCUUUAUAUGAUGGACUGGGGGUUAAUAAGAUACAUGAACCUGUUAUAUAAAUACCUGUUUCAGAAUAGCCUAAUAAACCCUUGUCAAUUUAGAAGCCCUGUAAAUUACCUCCAAAAUACGGGGAUAAUCGAUAGAAAUUUUUACAAACCAGAAAGAGGAGUUAGCUUGCCUAGUUUCCAACAUUCGUAGGGUUACUGGGCCUCACAAACAGCAACCCUCAUAACCAUUGGCUGUAUUUUUAACCAACCCUAAGCUUGGUGAAUUGAGUCACAUGCGCUAGACGAGAGUUAGAGGAACCUUAGUGAAAUGGAUUCCACUUUCCCCGCACAUCAUUUUUUUCCCUUGUGCUCUAUGUUACGAUUUCCCUUUUCUACGAAGAGCUCUUAGCCAUAUUGAUAAGCUAUAUUUGGUGAUAAGAUUGUUACUUGUUUUUCCUUUUUUUUUUAGCAAAUAAUUAUAAGUAUUUUUUUGGCGCGUUGUUUUGCUGAUUAAUCAGACUACAACAGAAUUGGGAAACCAUGUUGCUUGAUAAUGCUAUUAUCCUCAGGGAUUUAGUUAAAGUAUUUACUUAGACUCUCUUGUUGUGAUUGUAUUUUGGCUGUCAUUGGUAAUUCUUCUUCCAAAAUUAUUGACCACUUGUUUCUCUUUGCCCGUGGUUGGAUAAUCAAUGUGUGAUUCUGUCAACUUUCUAUAUCCUUUCUGAAUGACAAUAUAUGUUCAAGAGUUUGUUGAAUUCCUCGUGGAAAGGUUUGUACAACUUACACAGCUUUUGAAAAUGUUAUCCAUAAAUAAAAUAGCUUGGAGGGUACAAUAUUUAGGGAGUUUUGGACUCCAUAUUCCAUGGUUCAAUUCCUGGAAUUUUUGUGUGACGUGUAGAAAAAACAUAGGGAACACAAUUGACUUUUAUAUUUAAAUGAAAUGUCUGCUAGUAUUGAUACUUUCUUAAAUGAAGUUAUACGUGGUGCCUGUUCAACUAACACCCCUGACAUUUGUCCAAGUGCUCAGAUGAUUCCCUCAACUGGCUAGAUAAUUCUGGUAGGUGACAAUUUUAAUAAAUAUUAGGAGAAUCUAGAGAACAUGGGACAUGACAAUUUAUUUAUUUUAAAGGUCCUAUGCCUCUUCAUAUGUUGCUCAUAAGUGUUUCUGUUAUAGGAUGUUUAUUGAAUCAUGCAAGAGGCUCAAAAUUAUGAAAGGCUCUGAUGCUAUUGGAUUAGGUAAGCAUUUUUUUUAUCAUCUUAUGCCUGUUUGUUAAACAGUUUAGAGCUCCAAUUUGUGAAAUUUGUGUCUUUUAAAGGCAUGCUUGCUCAAGUUUUCGCCAGUGAGAUCCAUAAGAAACAUUAUCCUUGCAUAAAUGCAGCAUAGCAGCUUCUUAUUUUGGACACUUACAGAAGCCAUACAGACAAUUACUAGAAAGAUCGAAGACAAUAUAUACUGAGGAAUGGGGAUGAAAAUAAGUCAUCAGACUGUGUUUUUGGAGCCUGUCUUUGUUUUGUUGUUUUGAUUUCUAAUAAAUUUUGUUGAAAUUUUUGCAUUUUAUGUUCAAAUAAUCUAUAUUGCAUAUAUCUUAAAAAUGGUAGUAUAAUGUGAAUGAGACUUAAAUGCUCGAAGAAAUUGAAAUGUUGUGGACAAUGAAAUUGCCUAAAUUGGGAUAUGUAUAAAGAACAUUCUAGUGGUUAUUGUAAAUUGACAAAUUCUGGCUUGGAGUUAACUAUGUUGAACCGAUGUUAUACUGCUGGACUGAAUAACAGUGCACUUCGAGAACAUAGUGCCUAGUUAAUUUGAAUCCUAUCAUUGGAUAUUGAACAGCUGCAACAAUGGAAAAAUUUAGUCUUUGUUUAAACUUGAGAAAUUUUACGAUUUUAGAAUUUGAACAACUUCAUUACAAUACAGUUCUGUUGUGAUAUAGCAUAUGAUAUUCACUGAACUUCGUAACACCUUUCUUUUGGUUCAUAGCUCCCAGGGCCACGGAGAAACCCAAGAACCAGAACUAGCUUUCCACUGAAGAUGACUGCUUUCUAUCUGUGCAGUCGAGAGUGGAAAAAUCCCGAGGAAGAAAAGGAUAAGGGAUGAAAAUGGCUUGAGGUGUAUUUGGAGAUCAUGUUUUUGGAAUCCUUCUGGUCUUUGUAUGUGUUAUUGAGUGCAUUCCAAGUCCUUGUCAAUUUCUGUUUGUCUUAAAGCUUAAGAUUUUUAUUAAUACGGAGAAAAAAACGUUUGUGGAGUUCAAAUUUCUUUGUUGAAACUACUGCUAAGUGAGUUGUAUUGGUGAAUGUGUGAGAUACUUGUUUAGACAUGUUAUGCAAAUGCUGUUUCGUCGCAUGUCUUAUAAUUGUUGAUUGUUGGUUAUUUCAAUUUUUGAAAGUUUUUCCUAGAUUUACUUGAAUUAUAUUUGAUAUUUAUUUAGCAGAAAUAUUUUAUAUAGUAUUAGAUCGAUUGAGUUAGACCGGGUAAUACUAGGGGUGACAAACUAGUCGAGCCACUCGCUGUUGGCUAGUAUAGAGAUG
rnacentral:lncRNA from 1 species